rnacentral:lncRNA from 1 species
GAUUAAGUCUGCAAAACUUCCUUUUUGUACUGAUUGUCUAAUUACAACAGCAGUGACCAAAAGGAGCACCUUGCACCAAUUCCCAGCAUGUUGCAGAAUUAACUGAUGCCUGCCAUGUUAUCUGGGACACUAGGAAAAAUGUGGGCCCACUGCUGAAUGAGGUGGGUGCCCUAGCCAUGAAGGACACUGAAAAGAUGGAGUUACUGAAUGCCACCUUUGCUUCAGUCUUUACUACUAACACUAACCCUCAGGAAUCCCAGUCCCUGGAGUUAAGAGCGAGAGCAUGGGGGAGAGGAAGGCUUCCUCCUGGUUGAUGAGGAUGUGGUCAGAGAUUGUCCAGACAAAUUCAACACACACAGAUCCAUAGGCCCUAACAGGAUGCACCCACAAGUGCUGAGAAAAAUGGCAGAAGUGACUGGCAAACUGCUGUUAUCUUUAAAAGGUCAUGGAGAGUGGGAGAGGUGCCCGAAGACUGGAGGAAAGCCUAUGUCAUUCCAGUCUUCCGAAAGGACAAGAACAAGUGCCUGGGAAACUACAAGCCAGCCAGCCUCAGCUCCAUCCCUUGGAAGGUGAUCGCAUAGCUUAUUUUGGAUGUCAUCUCCGAGCAAGUGGAAGAGGAAAAAGUUACCAGGAGUAGUCAAUGUGACAGAGCACUGGAACAAGCUGCCCAGAGAGGCUGUGAAGUCUCCUUCUCUAGAAAUAUUUAAAACUCACCUGGAUGCUUUUCUGCACAACCAACUGUAGGCAGCCUGCUUUAGUAGGGUGGAUGGACUAAAUGAUCCCCGGAGGUCCAUUCCGACACCUAUGAUUCUGUGAUUCUGUGACACUUGAUCCUGCUGGUGUCUGAGGAACUAGACUUGCCUGGUCAGGCCCUUAGAAUAUUUAGAAGAAACUGCUACUUUCAAGCUCUCUGCUGGCCAUGGGAGCAAGCUGGGAACCAUGACUGAGCAUGUAAAGAGAUCAGACAACUAACUACAAGGAACUUGAACUGAUAGAUCUGAUAAUUUUGGGUAAGGAAGAGUUGCAUUGCACUGUUUGUCUAUGUCCCACUUUAAGUUACAUAAAUUAUUUCUGUGUCUUGCAUCUAGAAUCUCCCUCUGUCCUCUAGAAGAGGAAAAUAGCCUGAAAAUAAAGGUUAUGGGCUACAAGAAAGUCUAGUAUUACCAGUCUCUAUGUUCCAAACACCUUUCCUUUCUUGUAUCUUUUUCCUUUCCUACAACAAAUGUUUACUUGGGUUUUGCUGCAGUGUGGCUUGUUCUUUGGCAGCGCAAGACCUACAGUCCCACCACAUGUGAAGGACUCCAUUCCAUUAUGUUAACCAGGUACCAGAAAUUGCUACUUAGGAAGUUGUUUGCCCUUAGAAGUCUCAAGAAGUUUUCUCUGCUACGUAAAACUUGAACUGAUUCUUCUAAACAGUAGAAUUCAGAGUGUUUGGGAACACAAAUAGUGUUUGUCAUUUCAUGGAAUAGGCUCCCCAGGGAGGUGGUUGAGUCACCAUCCCUGGAUGUGUUUAAGAGCCGUUUGGAUGUGGUGCUCGGAUAUAUGAUUUAGCGGAGGGUUGUUAGAGUUAGGGUAGUAUGGUUAGGCUGCGGUUGGACUUGAUGAUCUUUGAGGUCCUUUCCAACCUGAGUAAUUCUAUGAUUCUAUGAGUUUUCCAACUUGGUUAUCCUCUUUGAUUUGACAUCUUUUGUGAUUACCACGUUAGAGGCAUUUUGGAAACUGAAACCCCCGUGCCAGAGAGGCAGGCAUUAGGAGGCUGUCUUUAAAGCAGUGUCCAGCCCAUGAUUCACUGGAUGCACUGCUCAGGUGUGCUCCUGCACUGCCCAUGAAAAUAUGCUUUCUGUUUUGCUGUUUAGGCUGGUGGAUG